AUUGAACGCUGGCGGCAUGCCUUACACAUGCAAGUCGAACGGCAGCACGGGUUCUUGCACCUGGUGGCGAGUGGCGAACGGGUGAGUAAUACAUCGGAACAUGUCCUGUAGUGGGGGAUAGCCCGGCUAAAGCCGGAUUAAUACCGCAUACGAUCUACGGAUGAAAGCGGGGGCCCUUCGGGCCUCGCGCUAUAGGGUUGGCCGAUGGCUGAUUAGCUAGUUGGUGGGGUAAAGGCCUACCAAGGCGACGAUCAGUAGAUGGUCUGAGAGGACGACCAGCCACACUGGGACUGAGACACGGCCCAGACUCCUACGGGAGGCAGCAGUGGGGAAUUUUGGACAAUGGGCGAAAGCCUGAUCCAGCAAUGCCGCGUGUGUGAAGAAGGCCUUCGGGUUGUAAAGCACUUUUGUCCGGAAAGAAAUCCUUGGCUCUAAUACAGUCGGGGGAUGACGGUACCGGAAGAAUAAGCACCGGCUAACUACGUG
rnacentral:rRNA from 1 species